rnacentral:rRNA from 1 species
AGUGAACGCUGGCGGCAGGCCUAAUACAUGCAAGUCGAACGGCAGCACAGCAGAGCUUGCUCUGUGGGUGGCGAGUGGCGGACGGGUGAGGAAUACAUGGGAAUCUGCCCAGUCGUGGGGGAUAACGUAGGGAAACUUACGCUAAUACCGCAUGCGCCCUUCGGGGGAAAGCCGGGGACCUUCGGGCCUGGCGCGAUUGGAUGAGCCCAUGUCGGAUUAGCUAGUUGGCGGGGUAAUGGCCCACCAAGGCGACGAUCCGUAGCUGGUCUGAGAGGAUGAUCAGCCACACUGGAACUGAGACACGGUCCAGACUCCUACGGGAGGCAGCAGUAGGGAAUAUUGGACAAUGGGCGCAAGCCUGAUCCAGCCAUGCCGCGUGAGUGAAGAAGGCCCUCGGGUUGUAAAGCUCUUUUGUCCGGAAAGAAAAGCGCCGGGUUAAUACCCUAGUGUCCUGACGGUACCGGAAGAAUAAGCACCGGCUAACUUCGUGCCAGCCGACCCG